rnacentral:misc_RNA from 1 species
AUGUGGAUGUGGAUGUGGAUGUGGCUGUGGCAGCGGCGGCGGCGGAGGCCGUUGUUGUGUAGCAGCUAUGGUGGUUGCGGUUGUUGUGACAGUGGUCGGGUGUGCCCGGAGCAGGAGGUUGAUCUGGUCACGAAUGAAGCCUGCCUUGUGUGAGAGGUUUAACCCUAGCUUCGCUUCGAGUUGCUGAACGACGCCGUCUAAGGACGUGACGGAGUUGGGUUCUGAUUGACGGAGCACAGUCUCCACCCCUUUCGCUAAUUCCUGGUCCGACACCAUCGCCUUCUGUCUCUGUUUCACAUAUAUUUAACAGAAAAAAGAAAACGGAAACAAACGACUCUCUCUCUCCUUUCUCUCUCACACAAUCCCUACUCUGUCUCUCUCUCUCUCUCUCCGGUAACGCUUUCCUCUAACAGUAUCUCAAUCUCUCCCUGCUUGCGCUUCAAAUCAAAAUUUCCGUUUUAAACCUUCAUUUCUCUCUGCUUCUCUGUUCGUUGAACUCGCCAUGGGA